GACAACGUGCCCGAGUGGUCUAAGGGGGUGGACUUGAAAUCCACUAGGCUCCGCCUGCACAGGUUCAAACCCUGUCGUUGUCG